GAUGAAGAACGUAGCGAAAUGCGAUAAGUAAUGUGAAUUGCAGAAUUCCGUGAAUCAUCGAAUCUUUGAACGCACAUUGCGCCCCCUGGUAUUCCGGGGGGCAUGCCUGUCCGAGCGUCAUUGCAACCUUCAAGCGCGGCUUGUGUGUUGGGACUCGUCCCCCGUGGACGGGCCCGAAAGGCAGUGGCGGCGUCCCGACAUGGUGCCCGAGCGUAUGGGAAUCCUCUUCCGCUCGAAUCGGCCCAUGCGGCGCUGGUCGUAACCAAAUUUUUUACCGGUUGACCUCGGAUCAGGUAGGGAUACCCGCUGAACUUAAGCAUAUCAAUAAGCGGAGGA
rnacentral:misc_RNA from 1 species